UACAGAGGUCUCAAGCGUUGUUCGGAUUCAUUGGGCGUAAAGGGCGCGUAGGCUGCGGGGCAAGUCGGGUGUGAAAUCUCAGAGCUCAACUCUGAAACUGCACUCGAUACUGCCGUGCUUGAGGACUGGAGAGGAGACUGGAAUUUACGGUGUAGCGGUGAAAUGCGUAGAUAUCGUAAGGAAGACCAGUGGCGAAGGCGGGUCUCUGGACAGUUCCUGACGCUGAGGCACGAAGGUCAGGGGAGCAAACGGG
rnacentral:rRNA from 1 species